rnacentral:lncRNA from 1 species
UCUAAAUGGAAGAGGGUGCUGGGGAGUUAGGGAACUGGGCCUUGUGCUGCUGGCCCUGGAGGUGGAGGAAGUGGACAGGAGCCCGGGAGUGCAGGUGACUGCGGGGCGUGGGACGCCCAGAGCAGGCCCCCAGGCUCCGAGGGACACUGUGCUUCGAGCUCCGUGAGACUGGUUUCAGACCUCUGACUGCCCCAAUUACAGGUCUCACGAAGUCACUGGGUUGCCCAGGCAGGGCAAGAACUUGUGCUCCUCCUGCCUCAGCCUCCCAGAGAGCUGAGGUAACAGUGCACCCCACGCCCCGCAGAAGUCCCUGUUUAAGCCACCAGGUUUGGGGACGCGCUCAGCCACCAUGGAACUUGAGUACCCCACUCAGCCUCCACCUCUUCAUCUGGGCAGUCCCAGCCCUUCCCAGCCCCUUGGGGACAGCAUCGAGGGCAGUGUCCCGGGGGGGGGGGGGGCUGGCCUUCCGUGUGCCCUGCUGCAGAGCCCACACUGAGCCUCUCGGGGCCUGAGCCUCCCUUGGCUCUGGAGAGCAGGUGGGAGCCAUGGUGGUGGUCUCGCCUCCGGGACACCAAGUGUGGAGCCGAAUAGAGCCCAGGGCCUCUGCACUGAGCAUAUCCCCAGCCCGCACACACAGCGAGCAGUAAACACCUGUGCCUGAACAAAUGACUGAGCAAAUG